GACGAACGCUGGCGGCGUGCCUAAUACAUGCAAGUCGAACGCACAGUUUAUACCGUAGCUUGCUACACCAUAGACGGUGAGUUGCGAACGGGUGAGUAACGAGUAGGUAACCUGCCUGGUAGCGGGGGAUAACUAUUGGAAACGAUAGCUAAUACCGCAUAAUAUUAAUUAUUGCAUGAUAAUUAAUUGAAAGGUGCAAUUGCACCACUACCAGAUGGACCUGCGUUGUAGUAGCUAGUAGGUGAGGUAACGGCUCACCUAGGCGACAAUACAUAGCCGACCUGAGAGGGUGAUCGGCCCCACUGGGACUUAGACACGGCCCAGACUCCUUCGGGAGGCCGCAGUAGGGAAUCUUCGGCAAUUGACGAAAGUCUGACCGAGCAACGCCGCGUGAGUGAAGAAGGUUUUCGGAUCGUAAAGCUCUGUUGUAAGAGAAGAACGGGUGUGAGAGUGGAAAGUUCACACUGUGACGGUAUCUUACCAGAAAGGGACGGCUAACUACGUG
rnacentral:rRNA from 1 species